rnacentral:sRNA from 1 species
UGCUAGAGGACCAGAAUUCGUCCAUCAG